rnacentral:rRNA from 1 species
GAGUUUUGAUCCUGGCUCAGGAUGAACGCUAGCUACAGGCUUAACACAUGCAAGUCGAGGGGCAGCAUGUUGGUUGCUUGCAACCAAUGAUGGCGACCGGCGCACGGGUGAGUAACGCGUAUCCAACCUACCCUUGUCCAUCGGAUAACCCGUCGAAAGGCGGCCUAACACGAUAUGCGGUUCUCAGCAGGCAUCUAACCGAGAACGAAAUGUGAAGGAGAAGGAUGGGGAUGCGUCUGAUUAGCUUGUUGGCGGGUAACGGCCACCAAGGCGACGAUCAGUAGGGUUCUGAGAGGAAGGUCCCCCANAUUGGAACUGAGACACGGUCCAAACUCCUACGGGAGGCA